rnacentral:rRNA from 1 species
CCUACGGGAUGCAGCAGUGGGGAAUAUUGCACAAUGGGCGCAAGCCUGAUGCAGCCAUGCCGCGUGUGUGAAGAAGGCCUUCGGGUUGUAAAGCACUUUCAGCGGGGAGGAAGGCGGUGAGGUUAAUAACCUCAUCGAUUGACGUUACCCGCAGAAGAAGCACCGGCUAACUCCGUGCCAGCAGCCGCGGUAAUACGGAGGGUGCAAGCGUUAAUCGGAAUUACUGGGCGUAAAGCGCACGCAGGCGGUCUGUCAAGUCGGAUGUGAAAUCCCCGGGCUCAACCUGGGAACUGCAUUCGAAACUGGCAGGCUAGAGUCUUGUAGAGGGGGGUAGAAUUCCAGGUGUAGCGGUGAAAUGCGUAGAGAUCUGGAGGAAUACCGGUGGCGAAGGCGGCCCCCUGGACAAAGGCUGACGCUCAGGUGCGAAAGCGUGGGGAGCAAACAGGAUUAGAUACCCCAGUAGUC